AAAAACUCCGGUGGUAUGAGAUGGGCCCGCGUCUGAUUAGCUGGUUGGCGGGGUAACGGCCCACCAAGGCGACGAUCAGUAGCCGGCCUGAGAGGGUGACCGGCCACAUUGGGACUGAGACACGGCCCAAACUCCUACGGGAGGCAGCAGUGGGGAAUAUUGCACAAUGGGGGAAACCCUGAUGCAGCGACGCCGCGUGAGCGAUGAAGUAUUUCGGUAUGUAAAGCUCUAUCAGCAGGGAAGAAAAUGACGGUACCUGACUAAGAAGCCCCGGCUAACUACGUGCCAGCAGCCGCGGUAAUACGUAGGGGGCAAGCGUUAUCCGGAUUUACUGGGUGUAAAGGGAGCGUAGACGGCAAUGCAAGCCAGAUGUGAAAGCCCGGGGCUCAACCCCGGGACUGCAUUUGGAACUGUGUAGCUGGAGUGUCGGAGAGGCAGGCGGAAUUCCUAGUGUAGCGGUGAAAUGCGUAGAUAUUAGGAGGAACACCAGUGGCGAAGGCGGCCUGCUGGACGAUGACUGACGUUGAGGCUCGAAAGCGUGGGGAGCAAACAGGAUUAGAUACCCUGGUAGUCCACGCCGUAAACGAUGACUACUAGGUGUCGGGCAGCAAAGCUGUUCG
rnacentral:rRNA from 1 species